CUUGGUCUCCAGGCACGACCCCAAUCCCAUUACUUGUUGGAAACUUCAUGGCUAGGUGAAAGGUAGACACAAUGGCUUUGAUCUUGUUCAGGAGUGGUCUUCCCAGGAUAGCAUUAUAGGCCAUUGAGACACGUACCACUUGAAAAGAUGUCAUCUCCGUAACCUGUUUCUAGCCAGAACCUAAAGUUAGAGGAAUCUCGACGAUACCCUCUUGAGUGAUGACUCCUCCCCCAAACCCCUGGAAAGGAGUUUUAACCGCUUUGAGCUGCUGAGAUGAGAUUCCCAUUUUGGCAAAAGCCUCUUAUGAAAGUAUAUUGACCGCACUCCCGUUAUUAACCAAGAUUCUCUUUACUUCAAAAUUGGCCACAAUCGCUGAGAUGACCAAGGCAUCAUCAUGUGGAAGUGAUACACCUUCCAAGUCCCUGGUUCCAAAAGUAAUAUCCUCCAGCUUUCCAUGAGGCAUCCCAGAGGCCAAGGUAUAUUGUCGGGCAUAUUGUUUUCUUCCACUGUUCGAGUCUCCUCCCGAGACAAUACCCCUAAUGAUGAUAUUGAUGGUUCCAGCAAUGGGUUGACCAUCCCUUUUUGCUUCAGGGGCUCUUUUCCUACCACGAUCGUUCCUCAGUCGUUUGUCGUUACCGACGUAGGAACUCAAGAGUUCUCUUUUAAUAAGGGUUUCAAUCUCUCGUUACAGGGCCUUACAGUUUUCCGUGGUAUGCCAAUGAUCCCAAUUGAACUCACAGUACGUGUUCAUGUCCCUGGAUUCAGGUGGUGACCUCAUUCUGGCAGGCCAUUUGAGUUCCUUCAUAUCCUUGAUAUCCAUCAAUAUAUUUGUUUUUGACGUAUUUAAACGCGUGAAUGACGUCGGGGGAACCUCCUGUCUCUGUUUUCUCCGAGGUGGUUCUUGAUGGCGGUUCGGGUCGUGUUGUCGUUUAUGCUCGACCCUAUCAUGGGAUGGUCCAAACUUUCUCAGGUUCAGUGUUUCCUCCAUAUUUAUGUACUUCUCGGCUUGGGUAAGAAGCUCGAUCACUGUCUUUGGUGGAGUUUUGAUAACGACAUCUUGAAAGCCUCACACUUUAUGGCAUAUGUAAGGGCAGAAACUGCUGCAGUUAUAUUUAGGUCGGGAAUCUGAAGUCUUUCCUUGUUGAACCUAGUCAUAAAGUCACGUAGGGUCUCAUUUUGCCCUUGUCUAAGUUACAUGAGGGAAUCCGUUGUCUUCCUGAUGCGUUUACUGCUUGUGAAGAAAGCGAGAACUUGUCCGCCAAAUUCAAGAAUGAGGCUAUGGAGUUGGGCUCUAAGGUUGAGAACCAAUCCCUAGCAGCAUUCGUCAAAAUUUGCGGGAAAGCCUUG
rnacentral:lncRNA from 1 species